rnacentral:rRNA from 1 species
CAACCUGCCCAUCACUUGGGGAUAACCUUGCGAAAGUAAGACUAAUACCCAAUAACGUCUCUAGAAGACAUCUGAAGGAGAUUAAAGAUUUAUCGGUGAUGGAUGGGGAUGCGUCUGAUUAGCUUGUUGGUGGGGUAACGGCCCACCAAGGCGACGAUCAGUAGGGGUUCUGAGAGGAAGGUCCCCCACAUUGGAACUGAGACACGGUCCAAACUCCUACGGGAGGCAGCAGUGAGGAAUAUUGGUCAAUGGACGAGAGUCUGAACCAGCCAAGUAGCGUGCAGGAUGACGGCCCUAUGGGUUGUAAACUGCUUUUAUAAGGGAAUAAAGUGAGCCUCGUGAGGCUUUUUGCAUGUACCUUAUGAAUAAGGACCGGCUAAUUCCGUGCCAGCAGCCGCGGUAAUACGGAAGGUCCGGGCGUUAUCCGGAUUUAUUGGGUUUAAAGGGAGCGUAGGCCGGAGAUUAAGCGUGUUGUGAAAUGUAGACGCUCAACGUCUGCACUGCAGCGCGAACUGGUUUCCUUGAGUACGCACAAAGUGGGCGGAAUUCGUGGUGUAGCGGUGAAAUGCUUAGAUAUCACGAAGAACUCCGAUUG